UACAGAGGUCUCAAGCGUUGUUCGGAAUCACUGGGCGUAAAGGGUGCGUAGGCGGCACGGUAAGUCAGAGGUGAAAUCCCGGAGCUCAACUUCGGAAUUGCCUCCGAUACUGCCGUGCUUGAGGACUGGAGAGGAGAUUGGAAUUCACAGUGGAGCAGUGAAAUGCGUAGAUAUUGUGAGGAACACUAGGGGCGAAGGCGAAUCUCUGGACAGUUCCUGACGCUGAGGCACGAAGGCCAGGGGAGCAAACGGG
rnacentral:rRNA from 1 species